GACAGAGGUGCCAAGCGUUAGGCGGAAUCACUGGGCUUAAAGCGUGUGUAGGCGGACUUGUAAGUACCUUGUGAAAUCCCACGGCUCACCCGUGGAACUGCGUCGGAUACUGGAUGGCUUGAAUUCGGGAGAGGGAUGCAGAAUUCCAGGUGUAGCGGUGAAAUGCGUAGAUAUCUGGAGGAAUACCGGUGGCGAAGGCGGCAUCCUGGACCGACAUUGACGCUGAACGGCGAAAGCUAGGGGAGCAAACGGG
rnacentral:rRNA from 1 species